AGCAAAGGGGCCUGGUGGUGGGUUGAGGACUCAAGAAAGCUCUCCUGGAAGCAGAAGCAGCUGUUAGGUGAACAUGGGCCAUGAGUUAACUCUGCCCGAAAGAGAGGCUUCCAUCUUGGGCCUGCCUGUUAAGGAGACAUCGGAGACUGUCUGCACCAUCCUGG